GCGCUCGCUUGGGCAGCACAUAUACUAAAAUUGGAAUGAUACGGAGAUUAGCAUGGCCCUUGCACAAGGAUGACACGCAAAUUCGUGAAGCGUUCUUAAAAAAA